CCUACGGGAGGCAGCAGUGAGGAAUAUUGGUCAAUGGACGCAAGUCUGAACCAGCCAUGCCGCGUGCAGGAAGACGGCUCUAUGAGUUGUAAACUGCUUUUGUACGAGGGUAAACGCAGAUACGCGUAUCUGUCUGAAAGUAUCGUACGAAUAAGGAUCGGCUAACUCCGUGCCAGCAGCCGCGGUAAUACGGAGGAUUCAAGCGUUAUCCGGAUUUAUUGGGUUUAAAGGGUGCGUAGGCGGUCGGAUAAGUUAGAGGUGAAAUCCCGAGGCGCAACUUCGGAAUUGCCUCUGAUACUGUUCGGCUGGAGAGUAGUUGCGGUAGGAGGAAUGUAUGGUGUAGCGGUGAAAUGCUUAGAGAUCAUACAGAACACCGAUUGCGAAGGCAGCUUACCAAGCUACUUCUGACGUUGAGGCACGAAAGCGUGGGGAGCAAACAGGAUUAGAUACCCUUGUAGUC
rnacentral:rRNA from 1 species